AUUGAACGCUGGCGGCAGGCCUAACACAUGCAAGUCGAGCGGAAACGAUCCUAGCUUGCUAGGAGGCGUCGAGCGGCGGACGGGUGAGUAACGCGUGAGAAUCUACCCAUGAGUGGGGGACAAUCCGGGGAAACUCGGGCUAAUACCGCAUACGCCCUACGGGGGUAAAGCAGGGGACCUUCGGGGCCUUGCGCUGAUGGAUGAGCUCGCGUCGGAUUAGCUUGUUGGUGAGGUAAAGGCUCACCAAGGCGACGAUCCGUAGCUGGUCUGAGAGGAUGAUCAGCCACACCGGGACUGAGACACGGCCCGGACUCCUACGGGAGGCAGCAGGUGGGAAUCUUGGACAAUGGGGGCAACCCUGAUCCAGCCAUGCCGCGUGUGUGAAGAAGGCCUUCGGGUUGUAAAGCACUUUCAGCAGGGAGGAAGGCUUACCCCUAAUACGGGUGAGUACUUGACGUUACCUGCAGAAGAAGCACCGGCUAAUUUCGUG
rnacentral:rRNA from 1 species